AAUGCCAUAAUGAGAACGAUAUCAAUCUAUUUGAUUGAUUGUGUGUUUGAGAUUGUGUUUAUCCUGUGUUUAUCCUGUAUCAUUUGUGUUUCUGUGGGAAUUCUCUCUAAUAUUUGUUUUCUGUCAUUUGUGUUUGUUAUCCAUGUUGUGUAUUUCACGGCUACAUUUCCCUAUGUGGUGUUGCUGACCCUGUCCAUUUGAGGGUUGACACUAGAAGGCGCCAGAGAUGGGAUUGAGUUUUACAUUGGCUCGAAGUCAAACCUCACUAAACUGGCUGAGUCAGAAGUCAGAGCUCAACCACAUCUGGAGGAAACCAUUUCAUUAAGGACAUAGUGCCUUGUCCCAAUCAUCAUCUCUAUUCUGGCUGUGGUGGAGAGCAUGUUGGUUCUUCAUCUCUCCCGCCAUCAUCACUAUGAUCCUGGUGUGGUCAUGGUUGACCUUCCGUCCCCCGUCCUACGGUAAUGUGCAGUACCCUGCAUGGGGUGUGGCUCUUGGCUGGUGUAUGAUCACCUUCUGUCUCCUCUGGAUCCCCCUCGUCGCUGUCUGGAAAAUAUUCCACGCCCAAGGAAAUCCCUGGAAGGUGUUUAAGUAUUAACGUUUUCAGAUAGAAUUUAUUUUUCAUAAACAAA